rnacentral:rRNA from 1 species
GAGUUUGAUCUUGGCUCAGAGUGAACGCUGGCGGCAGGCCUAACACAUGCAAGUCGAACGGCAGCACAGUCCCGCAAGGGAUGGGUGGCGAGUGGCGGACGGGUGAGGAAUACAUCGGAAUCUACCUUGUCGUGGGGGAUAACGUAGGGAAACUUACGCUAAUACCGCAUACGACCUACGGGUGAAAGCGGCGGACCGCAAGGCGUCGCGCGAUUGGAUGAGCCGAUGUCCGAUUAGCUAGUUGGCGGGGUAAGAGCCCACCAAGGCGACGAUCGGUAGCUGGUCUGAGAGGAUGAUCAGCCACACUGGAACUGAGACACGGUCCAGACUCCUACGGGAGGCAGCAGUGGGGAAUAUUGGACAAUGGGCGCAAGCCUGAUCCAGCCAUGCCGCGUGUGUGAAGAAGGCCUU